AUGGUGGCGCCAAAUCCGAGUAUGAAGUGUGUGGCAAGAGGCGCGCCGAGCCGCCCCGGCUGCGGCGCCGAGGCGAGCCAUUCUGACGGCCAUUGGGUGAUGCCGGCCAGUGCACCAGGCUCGACGCCAGUCCACGAAGGCGCCGGCAGGUGGCAGCAGUGCCCCGGUGGUCGUGCCACUGCAGGCCACCGAGAACCUGGAGCAGGCGAGCGCGUACAACCAGCUCCUAGGGCGAUAUCACAUAGCCACAGCGUGGCUCACCACCAAGGAGGAAGAGCUUCGCUAGGCCAAAGCUUUGGGCCAAGGCGAAGAGGUUGGAGGCGGAGGCCGGCAAGGCGCCCAAGGCCCACCAAGCAGAGCUGGCCUGGCUGGUGGAUGAGCACGGGAUGGCGGUUGUUGCGAAGGACGUCGAGCUGA
rnacentral:rRNA from 1 species